rnacentral:rRNA from 1 species
AUGAACGCUGGCGGCGUGCCUAAUACAUGCAAGUCGAGCGAACAGACGAGGAGCUUGCUCCUCUGACGUUAGCGGCGGACGGGUGAGUAACACGUGGAUAACCUACCUAUAAGACUGGGAUAACUUCGGGAAACCGGAGCUAAUACCGGAUAACAUGUUGAACCGCAUGGUUUAACAGUGAAAGACGGUCUUGCUGUCACUUAUAGAUGGAUCCGCGCCGCAUUAGCUAGUUGGUAAGGUAACGGCUUACCAAGGCAACGAUGCGUAGCCGACCUGAGAGGGUGAUCGGCCACACUGGAACUGAGACACGGUCCAGACUCCUACGGGAGGCAGCAGUAGGGAAUCUUCCGCAAAGGGCGAAAGCCUGACGGAGCAACGCCGCGUGAGUGAAGAAGGUCUUCGGAUCGUAAAACUCUGUUAUUAGGGAAGAACAAAUGUGUAAGUAACUAUGCACGUCUUGACGGUACCUAAUCAGAAAGCCACGGCUAACUACGUG